CGGGCUUGCGGUGAUUUUACUCCUUCAUUUGACCGCCUGGCCGUUUGGGUCGGGGCGGGAGUUCCGUCCGGAGCGGAGGACGUGCUUCCGAGAGCCGCAGGGCCCCGGGCGAGGCGGGAAAAAAGCGGAAAUGAAUAGCGGCCUGGCGACUCCGGCAGCGGGCCUCAGUCUAGUGGCGGCUCAGCUGUGAGUGCAAAGCCGUCUGCAACGUCAAGUGAAUUUUGCGUUUUUUUACGUCUAAUGUCAGUCCUCCUGCGUCAGAUUUCCCGGUGUUCGUGUGCAGCGGUGUCUGGCAACGUCUUGAUAAGGUAAAGCAUAUUGAUGGUGGGACGGAGGACCUGUGAGUAAAAGCUCUUUGGUGUUGCAAGGAAUGUGCAAGGUGUUUUGUGAGUGAGUGAGUGC